rnacentral:lncRNA from 1 species
AGUCAUUGGUCCCCGACCCCUCGGGGGGUGAAAACCAAGGACGAGGAUGGGGCACGCAGGCUGCCGCCUCUCGGACCCAGAGGUAUCUCAUCCCAAUCCAGAAACCAAGGAUCCGCGGCUGUCUCUGCAGGGAGACGGCGCUUUCUGCGGCGGAGGCUGGGACCAAGGACAGGGACACGACCCUCCACCCCGUUCGGAGACGGGCGUGGUGAGCGGGAUCGCGGAACACGGUUUUACACGUCCACCUGCGUCCCCGCCCCUCCGCCCCGGCCGGACCCGCGUCUCACCGUGAACCCCGGAGAAGCCUGGGGUGCUGGGAUAGAAAAGGGAGGUGACUCUGGGGAUCAAAGGGCAGUGGACCUGUUCCCCGUCCCUCUGUUCGCCAGAACCCAGAGUGUCACAAAAACCGGACGUGCGUCAACACCCGCCUUCCGGGUCUGCGCUGCGCCUUGGGGGGUGCGGGGGUGGUCCUCGCUAGGAAAGCCGGAGGACUUUGGAAUCAAACCCAGGCAUCCUGCAUUGGAAGCGAGGAGUCUUAACCACUGUGAAGAAGGAAUUCAUAGGGCCUGAACUCCAUCUCAGGCCUGUCCGUGCUGGCUGUGCUCGACUGCCUCUCCAGUGGACUCUGAACUCUCUGCUUAGUGCCUGUGAGGAUGACAAUGGAAGGAUAAGACCCCCUCCAGACAGAGGAAUCCUGAAGAUCACAUCCAGGCUACUCAUUGCCUAAGAGGAAGCAUACCGUAAUCACACCUGUCUCCGGACAGGUCAUAAACUUUUUUCGUAUCUGUCAAGAUGUAAUCACAGGCUUAUCGAUUAUUAACUGGUUGGAAUGUAACUGCGGGCUUAUUGACUAUUGACUGUUUAAGACACGUACACAUGGGGCAGGUGGUAGGUUAAGACACGUACACAUGGGGUAGGUGGUGGGUUUAGACACGUACACAUGGGGUAGGUGGUGGGUUAAGACACGUACACAUGGGGUAGGUGGUGGGUUUAGACACGUACGCAUGGGGUAUAAAAGAUUUUCACAAAUGCUGGACGGGGUCCUUGGCUAAGAGGAGACUCUGCCUUGGGCCCGCCGGCGUAAUAAAGUGCACUCCACUAUCUGCAUUGUCCUUCUGAGUGAGUCUGUUUCCCGGAAAGCGUGGCUAUAACAACUGGACCACUAAGGAAGUCCUUAAGUGCUAGUAUUUUGUAACACACAUUCCAUUAUGAACCCUGUAACUGAUAGGCCUGUGUAGAACACUGAUUACCUCACUUUUCUCCACAUCUAAGACCCCUGCUUCUUUAUCCCAUAAAAAUCUCACGCCCCUCACCUACAGGGAGGUAGAUCUGAGAUUUGUUCUCCUAUGUCCUCACUCAGCUGUCUUGUGAAUAAACUCUCUGCUGCAAAUCUCACU